rnacentral:rRNA from 1 species
UACGUAGGGGGCAAGCGUUGUCCGGAAUCAUUGGGCGUAAAGAGCGCGUAGGCGGUCCGGUAAGUCGGUUGUGAAAACUGGGGGGCUCAACCCUCAGAGGCCGACCGAUACUGCCGGGCUAGAGUCCGGAAGAGGCGAGUGGAAUUCCUGGUGUAGCGGUGGAAUGCGCAGAUAUCAGGAGGAACACCGAUGGCGAAGGCAGCUCGCUGGGACGGUACUGACGCUGAGGUGCGAAAGCGUGGGGAGCAAACAGG